rnacentral:rRNA from 1 species
UACGGAGGGUGCGAGCGUUGUCCGGAAUCACUGGGCGUAAAGGGCGCGUAGGCGGCUCCGGCAGUCUGUGGUGAAAGCCCAGGGCUCAACUCUGGGUCGGCCACGGAUACUCCGGGGCUGGAGCACACUAGAGGCGGAUGGAAUUCCUGGUGUAGCGGUGAAAUGCGUAGAUAUCAGGAGGAACACCUGCGGUGUAGACGGCUUUCUGGACCAUUGCUGACGCUGAGACACGAAAGCGUGGGUAGCAAACAGG